UGCAUGAAACUUCCGCUUUACCUCCUAUUGGAUAACUGGCCAGUUGUGCGUUGUGCUUCAUUGAUUUAUGCACAGGAAAGCUAGCAAACAAAAGGUGUAGAUUUUAUUCUAGCUGUGGCAUUUGCAUUUGUUGUCUCUUAACAUGGGGGCCAAAGAAGUGCCAAUGCCAGUAAAGCAAGCCAUAAUUAAGCUGAAAAAUGAGAAAAAAUCGAUCAGGGACAUAGCGGAAAAAUUGGGUGUGUCAAAAUCAACUGUUUGGUAUAUUGUUAAAAAACAAGAACGCACUGGUGAGCUCAGCAAUAGCAAAAGAUCUGGUAGGCCACGAAAGACCACUGUGUCAGAUGACAAAAGAAUACUUUCAAUUGUUAAGAAAAAGCCCUUUUCGACUGCAGAACAGAUCAAGAACACUCUCCAGGAUGUAGGCGUAGAUGUAUCAAAGAGUACCAUAAGGAGGAGACUACACCAGCAUAACUUCAAAUGGUUCACCUCAAGAUGCAAACCACUGGAUAAUAUGACCUCCCUCCCUCAGGACCAAAGUGGGAUGUCACUGCUCCAGGUUUUCAAUAUGCACUCUAACAGAAAGCCAAAGUCAUCCACCCAAACAUCCAAGUACUUGUAAGAUGAUACUCUUUCAAUUGAGUCCCCUCCUAAGGAACAAGUUAGAAGAGAGAUCUUGCAGAAGAUGAAAACAAGGUUCAGCUCCAUCAUUGAUAGUGAAACGAUGGAUUUGGAGGACCUCCUAAACGUGGCUCAACAAGAGCUUGCUCUGGCUACAGCGACAUCCCAUCACAUUAACAUCCCAGAGGAACUAGUCUGCAGUCUGCAGGAGCUGAUCUGCAGACUCAGCCAGUCCAUGCAAUCUGUUGCAGAGGCACCAGCUAAUCCCUCAGAUAUUGUAUCUGUUACUUCGAACAAUUCCCCUUCCUCUGAAUGAAUGUUCUUCACCUUAUCCCCUUUUUAGGCCUAUGCUGAUUUGGCAACAUUCUGCCAAAUGAUGUCUACCAUUCAGAUAGUAUGCUUGUUCUUGUAAAUAUUUAAAUAAUUUGAUUAUAAAACAUUCAUUAUUUUUGUUAAUAUGAUGCAUUUUUCAUUAUUGAUCAUGGACAUUGUUGGUCUCCUUUUUUUCCACCAGUUUUCUUUUUCAAGUGGCCAAUCACAGUUCUGCCCACCAGAGGUGGGACUAUAAAUGGAUGACUGUUUUUUGUUACUAAACACUGACAUUGAUGAAGCCCUGAUGGGCAAAAUGUCUGUUCAAUAAAUCAGACUUCAUCUCA